AUAAUGCACUGGUGCAUUAUUCCGCAAGUAAAGUGACGUUUUGUUUUCUGCACAUUGUUUUUAUUAUUCGAAAUCUGAGAUUUCGAAAUUAAUUAUAGAUCUAUUGUGUUGAGAUCUCCACCUCCAAUUGUACCGAUACGGAAAGUAGUGCUGCGAAAGGCCAUGGUCUUGGAAGCGGCUAAAUAAAUCAGUAGCAGAUCGUUUGCAUUCGCGCAGGUGGACGUUGGUCGCAGGUGGACGCUGAACUUCUCAAUGCUUGGACACAACUUUUCCUCCUAGUGAACCUGAGCCUUCAAAUAUCUUUCAUUGAUUUUGAUGAGCACUAUGAAAGCUGUUCCCAGAUCGCGUGUGAAGUUGCAGCUCUGGUAGAUGGAAUGGCUACCUCUAAACGUCUUAUAUCUCUCCAACUGUGGUAGUCUUCAAGUAUAGCGUUACGGAAGGUCAUGAUGGAAAUAGGUGCUGUGAAUGGCAGUGUUAUUGGAAACAAUGAAGUUAAUUGGGCCGUUCUCAUUCGUCAAGCAAAGAGCGCUGAACUCUCCAGUCGUCGUGUCAGUUCAAAC